rnacentral:rRNA from 1 species
UUGAACGCUGGCGGCAGGCCUAACACAUGCCAGUCGAACGGUAACAGGAAGCAGCUUGCUGCUUUGCUGACGAGUGGCGGACGGGUGAGUAAUGUCUGGGAAACUGCCUGAUGGAGGGGGAUAACUACUGGAAACGGUAGCUAAUACCGCAUAACGUCGCAAGACCAAAGAGGGGGACCUUAGGGCCUCUUGCCAUCGGAUGUGCCCAGAUGGGAUUAGCUAGUAGGUGGGGUAACGGCUCACCUAGGCGACGAUCCCUAGCUGGUCUGAGAGGAUGACCAGCCACACUGGAACUGAGACACGGUCCAGACUCCUACGGGAGGCAGCAGUGGGGAAUAUUGCACAAUGGGCGCAAGCCUGAUGCAGCCAUGCCGCGUGUAUGAAGAAGGCCUUCGGGUUGUAAAGUACUUUCAGCGGGGAGGAAGGGAGUAAAGUUAAUACCUUUGCUCAUUGACGUUACCCGCAGAAGAAGCACCGGCUAACUCCGUG